CCCGAACCUCAGUGUGAACAGGGAUUCUGCAGCUCUGGCAGUUCUUAAAGCUGAUCACACACAACUUUUCUACCUUUCCUCUAGGAAUAAAGCUACAAAAAAGUAAAAACAGAAAAAACAAAUGACCACUAUUGGGGUUCUCCCAUUAAUAGCCUGGGUGACAUGCAGGUAGGUUCAAACAUUAUCAUGCCAGAAACUGGCAGCCCGUAUAGGUCAGAUUGAAGACUUAAUACUGCUCCAGAACAAUAUGUUGUUUUAACAACUGUCAGCUCGUCUCUGUUUAGUACAUUUGGAAUUUGGGGAGUAGGGGAGGGGGAAAUCACGUGAGAGUUACUAGCUUGCCUGACAUCUUUCUGGCUUGAUUAUGAACAUAGAAACAAGUCUUAUAAAUGAAUCAAAAUGGUCUGUUCAGCUUGGUAUUGUCUACUGCAGCUGUCAGUGGUUUGCCAUGGCUUCAGAAAGAGGAGCCUUCCCCAAUCCCGGUUGACAAUACCUUCCUCAUGGGAAGCAGAAUUUUCCAUGAAGGUGAAAACUUGAUUUGACAAUUGGCCAGCUGAAAUAAUGUGCCUCCUAAAUAAUAAAUACUUCCAACAUUUUACACCUAGAAUUUAUUUAGCAACUGGAGACACUUACCCUCAUUUAUUCAAAUAGGGAAGACAACAUCUAUUGUACUCACACUAUAAAGUCUUCUGCCAAGCUGCCAGUUUCAGAACCCUAUUCAACCAUGAAAUUCACUGAUAGCUUUGGGGUCGUUCCUGCCCAUUAAUCAAGCCUACUUCACUGGGUUGUAGGAGGAUGAAAUGAGAAUAUAUUGUAACCAACCAUGGAUUCUAGGGGGGAAAGAAAGUCAAAAGUUAGUAAGUUCUAGUAAUGCUUCCCUACUGAAUGUGAAUUUUUUUUAAAAAAAAAAUAGACUCAUAGAUGCUGCAAGUCUUAACACUGAAUGUUCAACAUAUAGCUGUGCAAGGUAUUUUCCAUUUUCCUUUCUCCGAAAACUGCACUGCACUGACAAUACAGUGUUGAGACUUGCAGCAUCUACGAGUUCUGUGUUUCCAUUCCACCUCCCUCCUCUUUUCUGCCAUUGCCUUAUGAUCGCAAGUAUUUGUGACCUACAGCUGUAAGGGCUUGAAGCCCAAAGCACACAAAAAAUCUCUACAUAUGGCAUCACUCUCUUGGCUGAUUGACUGAGCUGCAUGUAAUCUAACGUGACUGAUAUGCUCAGAUGUGAUGUGACACAUCUCUGUGCAGGCUGUGGUGCUGUAAACCAUUUUAUAAGUCAGUUUAAUUAGAAUGAUGAGCUUCUUAGUAGGCUGACCCUACAUUACAUCAGCGGUCACUACCCCAGCACUGGGACACUAUAAUGCAGUGGCAAUCCUAUGCGACUAUCAGCAGCAAAGCUGAAUCACAAGGAUAGCUCUAAAAGCAAAAACUGGUACACCACCAGCUUCUACAAAAUCCUUGGCAGCUCCUUUCACCAACUACUGUGAUGCUUGCCAAUCAUGACUCUUCAACAGCCAGAACACCUAGAAAUUUUGGGUAAUUAAGCAGUAUACAGUAUAAGUAGCUCAAAUAAAUAAAUACAUGGGUGGCAACUGCUGGAGCAUUAGGCAGAUGUCACAGAGCCUAGUCCUUCAACACUGCAAACUCAGACACACUGCUAGGUAGGGCGCCUUGGAGAAGAAAAGUUGUCCCAAGCAGUUUUGGUUUUUAUUUAGAAGAGCUAAACAUUUCUCUUUAUAAAUAAGUUCCUCAAAACUCAUUCAGAACCAUGUACUAUGGGGUGCUGUCCUCUUUGUUGCUGUUGUUCCUAUACUGAAACGGCCCUAGGUGGUGCUGUAGCCCAGUGGGAAAGUUUAGGCUUAGAAUUCAAGAGAGAUUGGGUAAGAUCCUUGGCUAUAACCUUUCCAGGGAAAGGGCUGGAGUGAAGCAGGCUGGCUGCAGCUCUCCAGGAUUUCAGGAAAUACUGAGACUAGGGCUUUUUCACACAAAGCAGGUGCUGUACUGCUGAGCUCUUCCCUGUGGACUGGAAGAAGCAGGACUCCAGACCACCGAGUAAGGGAGAGCUAGGAUAUGCAGGCAGUUAUAGACCUUGGAAUGGUUUUACAAGUGCUUUCCAUGCAGAAACAAAGGAAAAGUCCAUGGCUUGAUGAAUAAGGGAGGAAGAGGUUGCAUGUGACUGACUUUUCUAUACUGGGUUGAAUAUUUUAUUGCCUUUCCCCUUUAGAUCUCCAGGAAGCCCAUCAAUAGGUAUAUAUUGAAGCUUUGAUCGGCCUGGAACUGUGUGGAUAAAGGUUGUUUAUAUCAUCUGGAGCAGGCAUCCCAAACCUUUGGCCCUCCAGAUGUUUUGGACUACAAUUCCCAUCAUCCCUGACCACUGGUCCUGUUAGCUAGGGAUCAUGGGAGUUGUAGGCCAAAACAUCUGGAGGGCCACAGGUUGGGGAUGCCUGAUCUGGAGGGUCUACAGUAUCUGAAGAGAGGGUGGGAGACUUCUCUGAACCAACAGGAUAUUUGUACACUUGCAGCCAAAUUCACCCUUUGUGACUGCUCCUGUGCCAGAUCACCUUUUCAUGCAGAAAAAGAAAGAGAAGACUUUUUGAGUCAAGGUUAAGGGAAAGCACUCAAAAUGGCAUGGGAAUGAAAUCUCAUGGCCCCAGCGCCCUGAAGUCCUUAUUUCUAAACCUGAAAAUAUGGGUGCUUUCCCUAAGGGAGGGGGGAUAUGGCUCUACUGAUUGCUAUGGAGAGUCCUCUGCAUGCAGAUGUUGCACCCGGAUGAGGAAGGAUGAUAGUCUAUGUUUUCACCAUCUGUCAACAUGAUUAGAAAUAGUUUCUUGCUACCAAUCCUUUGGGGCAGAAAUUUAAUCUGACCGCAUAUACAGACACAGGAGAGAAUAAAGGCAAGAUAUACCAGACCAUAGAUUUAAACCUCUAAGCAAAUGAUCCUGAAUGGACUUCUCCUUGCUCUCCUUCCCGUGCACAUGAAUCUGUUUUCUCUCUGUUGUUUUAAUCUUGCAAAUUCGUUUCCCCCCCUCCAAUUGGUUUGCUCAGCAGUGAUGAUUAUGCAGGAGAGAAAUGGCAAAGGGGGUCAGGCAGCAAAUGAAUGAGGAGUGAAAUCUCAAAAGAUGCUAAAUGAAUAUUUAUGCAGCACGAUCUUCACUCUCACAUCACAGCACAUAAUGGGAUCAGCAGAAUUCCUGCUGGGUGAGCUGACUCUGUGAAAACUUAGUUUAAUCUAUACAUUAGGUGGACACCCCACAAGCCAAGAGAGAGCCUUCAACACCAUGUGAAAUAUUUAUUAAAGAUUCUAAUUUCGAAAUGUGUCUAUAUUCCGAUAGGUAAUAGGAAGGGGGAAGAAUCUUGCAUAAUAAUUCAAAGCUAAGGAAACUGAAGAAAAAUGAAUAGCUGGAAUGAUUUUCUGGCUUUGUGAGCGUUUAUUAAUCUCAAGUAUUUCUUUAAGCAAAUUAACUUUUAUUAGCCGUUAAAACAUGUUGGCCUAUGCCUUUAAGCUGGGGUAGCAUUAACAGGAACAGGUUCAGACAUGGAACAUGGUGCAGCUGCUGUGUGUGUUUGUGAGUGACUGAGUGAGAUGGAAAGUAAGGAACAAGGAAAGGAGGAAAAAUCAUAUUGUAAACUCCUGAUGCCUUAGGUGAUGUGUCCAACAAAGAUAAGAACUUACAUCUAAUGUUUAUUUUAUUAAAUUUAUAUCCUACCUCCCCAGAGGAAAGAGCCCAAGGCGACAUCUUUGUUGAUAGCACCACUUUCUAGCUGUCGCUGAAUAACACAGUCAAGUUUCAAGCUCUGCAUAUACAUGUAUAUUUGGAUCAGAUUUUCCUAUGGUUUAUUCAGAUGUGAAGUUCAAAGACUGGCCCUCCUCUUGAUUAAAUCCUUUAUGAGAUUAUUCACAAUUCAAAGGCAAUAGCAUAAUAAUGUAACUGAAUUUUACCUGUGCUUAUGCUUAUUUAAUGGGUUUGUUUUUAAAAGAUAUUUUAUUGUUCCUUAUAUGGGAUAUAAAUAUUGUUGGAAAAACAAGCAUCCACCCAGUUUAACCAUAAGGGAUAGUUGGGGGUAGCCUUGUUAUGGAGUUAGAGUAUUUGUUUUCAGAGGAGGAAGAAUAGAUAUACUACUGUUUCCCUUUGUCUAUUCAAAGACUGAAUGACAAUGGAUACUUCGUUUCAUCUCAGCAAUAAGUCUCAAGUUUAGACUCAAGUCUUAAUCAUUUGGUAAAACUCCGAAGAGGAUUCUCCAUAUGUUACCUUGUUUCAUUUUCUGCUGGAUGUCCUUUUCUUUGCAAGUGGAUUGUUAUUUUAAUAGCAUGGCAUGGUUAGGGGAGAAAGUUGUAUCACUGGUCAUUAGUGAUGUCACAAGCACUAUGCAUUAGGUGCCAUGAAAAUCACAUAACCAGACAACCCUGGUAAUGGCAUUCUUACCUAUGUUACUAUUUAUAGUUACUAUUGCAUCCAGUAUCAGGGAAAGUUGCUCAUGAGUGGGACCAUGUCACUGUGCUCAUGUCCUGCUUGUGAAGAGGAAGAAGAGUUUGGAUUUGAUAUCCUGCUUUAUCACUACCCUAAGGAGUCUCAAAGCAGCUAACAAUCUCCUUUUACCUUCCUCCCCCACAACACACACUGUGUGAGGUGAGUGAGGCUGAGAGACUUCAGAGAAGUGUGACUAGCCCAAGGUCACCUAGCAGCUGCAUGUGGAGGAGCGGGGACGUGAACUCGGUUCACCAGAUUACGAGUGCACUGCUCUUAACCACUACAUCACACUGGCUCUGAGCUUCACAGAGGCAUCUGGUUGGUCACUGUGAGAAGGAGAUGCUGGACUAGGUUCCUUCUUGCAUUCUUAUAUACCUGUGAAAAGAAUCAGAUGUUGUUAUCCUGAUAACAGUAAAGUAAAAGCAGAUUUGAAUGAAUGUUUUCAAUGCAUUGUUGGUUUGAGAGAACCAAGAUUUGCUCUCCAAUACGAUUGCCCUAAUAAAUAUAAUUCUCCAUAGAGACUACACCCUACUUGUAGUCCAGAUGCAUACUAUAUGAUGUCAUUGUAUGCAAAGAUGAAGGUGGUCAUCCUUUCAAAUUGAUGCCCUUGAGUAGAGAGGUGAGUCAGUAAUGGGAAUGGCCAGUAGCUAAGGGUGCAAGCCUAUUUGUGAGGUGGUGGCAGUGACCAUACAUUAACCUCAUGUUUAUUUCCCACAGCUCUAAAAAGGGGAUUAGACAAAUAGACAAAUGAGGCUACCAAUGGCUACUAGAUACAGGUAAUUCUUCCAACUGUUUUUUAAAAAUAUGCAAUGUUUUUAUAUGUGUUUUUAUUGUAUUAUAAAAUUGCAGUGGGGAGCCUGCUCUUCUCAUUUAUGCUAACUGCGUAUUUUAGGAACCUGGUUUUCCAGAAUUCUUAGACACGUGGGGAGCUUGCACAAAUAGUUCCCUACUGCAGAGAGUCACCCUCUAACUUGUGGAGGGCAAUGGAGGGAACACGAAACAGGAUGCUUGUCCCCAUAUGAUAUUGUGUGGUGAUAGGAACACCUUCUAUAGCUUCCUGACUAGGGCAGACAGCUGUACAGCAAGCUACAUCUGUCCAGAUUCCCCCUACUACAAAAGUGCUAAGAGAUGCAGAAGUCCUGCACACUUUUGCAUUGGGCCCUCUGACUGGUGUGUUAAACUAGUAGCACUGGAAUCCUUUUGUCGACAUUUCUUUAUAAUUAUACAAACUCACUUCCUCUGUCCUCACCCUUCUUGUGGGCACACCCGUGAACCCAGGCUGUGUACAUGCUCCCAUUUACUCUGCACCCAAUGUGCUCCCACCACUAGUCUGGGAAAUGGUUUGUGUACAUAGAGCAUUAGCCACAAUCCAGAUUGAUCCUGUAUCUAUCCUGCUGUUCCUAAUGAAAUGGUGUGUUUUGAUGCGUUUUCCCCAAACCAGUUUCAAUUUGAAUUGGGACAAAAGACCUAGCUGCGUUUUAAGCUACACAGCUAUCAUUUCCCUAAUUCUGGCAUUUGAUAAACAAUAACAAUAGGCUUUUAGAUGACUGGUGUUUAUCCCGUCAUUUAUCUUUGCCACAAUGUUAUAAAUACACAGAACUUAAAAUAUAAAAUUUUAUGACUUAAAAAUAAAUGUACAUGUUUUAUGCAGCCCUGAUACCAGAAAAGAAGCCCUUGUUUUACUUCAAAUGCUUCAGCUGCAUUUUCGUAAGUGUGGGAUUGGGAAGUUGUUGUUUUCUUUUGUUUGUUUGUUUUCCAGAGUGUUUUUUUUAAACUAUCUCAUUGGCUGGCACUGAACGGUUUGAGCUGUAUAAAUUAAGGAGACGUGUCUUUGUGUGCGUGCGUGUGUGUGUGUGUGUGUGUGGCGCCAACUCACUAUUCCAAAUCCUAAAGUGUGGGAGUGUGGAUAAUAGUGACAAUCGAAAUGCAAAACCAUAAAACCAUACCUUUGCAGAUCUCCAUAAAUAUUAAUGCUGAUGUUUAGUGAUCUUGCUAAUUUUAUUCUUUUCUGUGCCUGCACUUCCCUUUGAAAAAAGCAACAGCCAGAAACAUCUUUCUGACAAUUUUCCUCCGUUAAAAGCUAGUGACAAAGGUCUCUAAUACUUCAGAUUAUACUCAAGGGCUAAGAUGCUUUUACAAAACACAAGGAACUGUUUGCUUUUAUUCUGCUGACGUUCAUUUUCCUAUCUUUCAUUGUGAAACCGGCUGAGCCUGUGGGCAUGUGUGGAUGGAAGAUGUUAAAAAUAGAAAGUGUAGCCUAACAACUGGCUUCUGAUUGGCUAGCGACAAAAUCUGCCUGGCCUAUGGGAGCCGCUGAGAACAAAAGCAAUUCAGCCUGUGUUUGUGUGAAGCGCUUUAUCCACGUCAAAGAGCUCCCGGCUGUAGAAAUUAUUUUGGUUGCAGUUUAGCAAGGUAAUAAGCAGCUCAGCCCGCCCGAGAAGGUUGAGGACAAAACAAAGGCGUAUUAGCAUCUACAAAGCACAAAUGUUUGGCAAUACAGAGCUGCGAAUCCUUCGAAGUUCCAGGAAGGAGAGGCAAAAAAACCCCAAUGGAUUUUACAAAAUGCAUGCACAAACAAAAGACUCAAGAGAUUUUGUUGCUUCCACCCCCCCUUUUUUGACCCCUCAUAGCUUUUUCAAAAUCACUGAAUAUUUCCUUGCAGCUUUCUGAACUCAUUUACCCAAGUUUUUUUUUUAAACACACACACACGAGAGCAGCUUGGUGCCAUGCUGCGACUUGUGUUCUGUAACCAACAAAAUUGCCAUUAGUAACUAUGGCAAUAUGAAAAUCCUGCAGGACAUUCAGUUUGCUUUUCAGAUGGGAUAAGCAUCAACUACACGGCGGAAAUGGUUCCACUAGAGGCCACUGUUGGCCCAAAAAACCUCUAAUGCUGUCACUCGUGAAGCUCAAGUGAAGAAACUCUACAGUUGCUAUUGUUCCAAUGGCUUGUGCAUGUUCUUAGAUACACAUUAUCUCAAAAAAGCAAGACUGAACGCUAAGGUGUAUCGCUGCUUAGGUUCAAAAAAAUUCCCACAGAAUUCUUGCCAGCGGAUUUAUCAGAUGUGGAAACCAGAGCAAGGAAGAUGACUAUGAGCUGGAAUUUCCCCUCUCUUAUAUAUGCAAAUGAAGAUCCUAUCGGCAAGGGAGAGCCACAAUCUUAGCCAACCACCCCAGCCACCAGACCAGUCACACUGCCGGAUAAUCUAAAGCUGAACUGCUUUCUCCAGGUUGCAGUGGGAUAGUCAAAACAACAAAGGUCUGAGAUGCAGUAGUGGCAAAAUAUUACAGAGAGGGAGAAUUAGCUGAAGAAUUGAGGGGCACAAGCCUUAGGAACAUAUGAUGAUUGGAAGCUGCCCUACACCACCUCAGACCAUUGAUCCAUCUAGCUCAGUACUGUUUACACUGGCUGGCAGUAGCUCCUCCAGGGUUUCAGGUGGGAGUCUCUCUUAGCCCCACCUGGAGAUGCUGGGGAUCAAAACCUGGGGUGGUCACAUGACAUGCAUUCCAUGAGCUUCUUGUUGUUGCAGUUCCUCUUCACAAUUCUUUCUAGGUUUUGGCACAGAAGCUGCUUUGCUCUCCCUGUCAGGGGAAGAGACAAGAGAAGUGUGUCCCUGUUAAUUCUCAUUGACCUCUCAGCAGCUUUCGACACCAUCAACCAUGGUAUCCUUCUGGAGCGGCUGUCCGAGUUAGGGGUGGGUGGCAGAAUGCACAGAAAGGUAUACAUUUCCUACAAAAGAGAUAUAGAACUUUUGAUUCCUGAGUAAGCUAAAGCUAUCCAAUAUUAGAAGCACAGAGGAAGGCAGCACAGCAGUAUUUUUUAAACACGUGUUUUUAUGGGCAUUUUCUUUCUUACACAUUGUUUUGCUCCUCCUCUGUCCUCUUUGGGCUCCAGGGAGGGUCUCCUUGCAAGCCACAAGGACUCUACAGUUCUUUCCCACCAUUUCCUGGUAUAAUUCUAUUCAUUUAAUUAUUUCCCAACACCACAUAUAUAUGCAGACAUGCACAUGUAGAACGCAUGUACAAGUGUGUGGGGGGGUGGAUACCUGUAUAUUAGAGAACCACCAACUGGAAUUUCUUUUUAAAGGGACAGUUUACUUAUUCCAACAUUUGCAUUUUGGACACAGUGGUAGAGCCCCAGGAAUCUUUAAAGGAUAUAGCCACACUGCGACCAAACACUGGCACCCAUCUACUGUAUUAAUUUGUGGGCAUUCAUUUAUGGUAAUAGUAAAAAUGCUUAAUACUAAAUGGAUGUGGAUUAUAAACAUUUAACAGCUAAACAUAAAGGUGUCUCAUUAAGCUAUAAUCUGCUUUUUAAUAAACAGCAAGCCAAAGCACAAUAAAUGUGUUUUGUCACUGUGCAUGCAAUAGCAUGAUGCUAAAGUAAGAAAUUGAUGCUUUUGAAUUAUGGUGUUGGAGGAGACUCUUGAGAGUCUCAUGCACUGCAAGAAGAUCAAACCUAUCCAUUCUUAAGGAAAUCAGCCCUGAGUGCUCACUGGAAGGGCAGAUCGUGAAGCUGAGGCUCCAAUACUUUGGCCACCUCACGAGAAGAGAAGACUCCCUGGAAAAGACCCUGAUGUUGGGAAAGAUUGAGGGCACAAGGAGAAGGGGACGACAGAGGACGAGAUGGUUGGACAGUGUUCUCGAAGCUACCAGCAUGAGUUUGACCAAACUGUGGGAGGCAGUGGAAGACAGGAGUGCCUGGUGUGCUCCAUGGGGUCACGAAGAGUUGGACAUGACUAAACAACUAAACAGCAACAACAAAGUAAGAAAAUAAGGCCGAAUACCCUUCUAGCCCGGGAUGUGGGUGGCGCUGUGGGUUAAACCACAGAGCCUAGGACUUGCCGAUCAGAAGGCUGGCGAUUCAAAUCCCUGUGACGGGGUGAGCUCCCAUUGCUCGGUCCCUACUCCUGCCAACCUAGCAGUUCAAAAGCACGUCAAAGUGCAAGUAGAUAAAUAGGUACCGCUCCGGUGGGAAGGUAAACAGCGUUUCCGUACUCUGCUCUGGUUCGCCAGAAGCGGCUUAGUCAUGCUGGCCACAUGACCCGGAAGCUCUACGCCGGCUCCCUCAGCCAAUAAAGGGAGAUGAGCGCCACAACCCCAGAGUCGUCCGUGACUGGACCUAAUGGUCAGGGGUCCCUUUAUCUUUACCCUUCUAGCCCAGCAUCCUGUUCUCACAGUGGCUGUCCAAAUGCCUGCAGCAGCAAUCAGGACCUGAGUGUAACUCUCCCCACCUCUGAUACUCAGCAGCUAUGAUUCAGAAGCAUACUCCUUCCUGCUGUGGAAGGUAGAGCAUAUCCAUCAUGGCUAGUAGUCAGUGAUAGACUUAACCUCCAGGCAUUUGUCUAAUCCUCUUUUGCAGCCAUCCAUUGCUACAUUUAAUGGGAGCAAAUUCCAUAGUUUAACUGUGCACUAUGCGAAGAAGUACUUAACUUUUGUCCACCCUGAAUCUUCCAACAUUCAGCUGCGUUUGAGUUAUUAAAGAUUCAAAUGGUAUAGUAUGUAAAUACCAAUGAUGGGAUCAGACAUACUGGAUUAACCUUUCUACCUUUGUUCAGCUGAAAACACUAAGCGGUUACUACAUCAUGGAUGUGCACAAUUAAAUUGGGUCUUUGAUAGUGAAUAACUGAGCUCAUGUGCAAAAUGAGAAGACUGACAUUUAGACAUAACGUUGGAUGGAGAAAUCAUUCCGUCUCAGUUGAGUAAAAUAUUUAAGUAGAAGCUUAUACUUUGCUCAACUGAGGUCUCGUAGUCCGUUAUGGAACACUUAUUAUUUCCUUGUGACAUAUAGCUGAAGAGCUUACAGUGGAUGAAGCCCAAUGAAUUUUAUUACUGCAUUCUGUAUAUCUGUAAGGGAUUCUGGGAAUGAGGCUUUACUCAGUAAUAUUUACUGGGUGACCUCAGAGUUGGAGAGCAAUCUGAAGCCCUAGCUGGGAGCAGUGGGGCAGAAUGGAGUGCCAGAUUACUGCUGCAUCCAGAACGCUGCAACUUCAGCUGACAGGGUGGGGAGCUGGCUAUUUCAAACUACUUCUUUUUUCUGUGCUAGGCUGGGUCCAGGCGUGUGUGAUGGACUGGUCCAAACUGGGCCUUCUCUAGGAAAUGGGUUCAGCUUUGGAUCCAACAGAUCCAUCACCAACCUGAUAUGAUCAUUUUGGCAACAACAAAAAAGCACCGCCUUGAAAUCUCCAUCAUAAUUGAUCAUAAACUAAACAUGGAUCUGCUGCAGGCACUUUUAGCACUUGAGAGGGAUCUCUACCCCAAGAUUCCAUCUCAGGCCUUGGUUUCUUUUCUGAUAGCCACUGCCAGAAUGGAAACAGCAGUCAGGUGGAAAACAGGGGCAUGUCUUACUUUGUAAUCUUGGUUCAUCCAUAUAUGAGAAAUAGCAUUCAAACACUUGACUCAGCAAAGCAGGGCAGAGCAAGCAAUACAAAUUUCUAAGUACAUGGUAUUUGUUUAUUGAGUAUAUAAACAAAUCAGCCUCAUUGCUUGCAGCGGUUCUCAACCUGUGGGUCCCCAGAUGUUGUUGGACUACAACUCCCAUCAUCCCUGAGCUCUGGCCUUGCUAGCUAGGGGUGAUGGGAGUUGUAGUCCAACAUCUGGGGACCCACAGGUUGAGAAAGGCUGGCUUACAGCCUCCCAUGAUACAUAUUUUGCUAUGGAAAGUCUUAAUUCAGCAAUGAAUUACCAUUGUGUGUCCCUUAAUUAUGACAAAUGUGAUUGACAAACUAUACUCCAAGUUUUGUUUAGUUUGUGUUUAUGCUUCUUCUGUAAAAGAAAGUGUAAUAAAAUACAUUUUUAAUUCAAAAAAUGGAGUUGGGAGGAUGCUAUUGCACCAGCUGAAUUCAGCUCAUCUUGCAAAACAAAACCACACUCCAGACUUACUCAUAUGAGCAUCCACUAGCCAUAACAGGGGUUAGAUCAACAAGUUUGAUGCCAAAAUACACAUCUAUUUAAAUCCCCUGGUGAUUCAGAACAAUCAGCACAUUUGAAAACCAGACCAGCUAACUAUGAACUCAGUAAUAUGAUUCCAAGCUCUACAAAUAAAUAAUAAUAAUAAUACAAUUCUGCCACAAAGGAGAAGACUGAAAAAUGUACAAAUUUAAAAUUGUAAUGUAUUUGUGUGCUGAGAUUUUGUGGUGCUCUUUUGUAAGAUUUAUUAAUGCCUCCUGAGUGAUCUUUUUAAAAAAACAAUUGUUCACUGUUUUUUGCUUUCUGCAUCCUCAUAAGCCCUGCUGUUAGUUUUAGAUUGUCCACCCAUUGCAUCAGUGGUUGUCCCCUUGGUCUUUAAAAUUGUAGGGUCUCCAUGCUAACACUGCUUUAACCCAUUAGCCUAAGUCGGUCUCCAUGCUAACACUGCUUUAACCCAUCAGCCUAAGUCAUCUCUUGUCACAUGUCCUACAUAUGUCUAUUUUAACUUUGUGAAGCUAUAGCUGAGUCUGUGAGAUAUAUAUAUAUGUAUAUGCUUGAAAAAUGUAUUCCAUGCAAAUGGAAUUCUAACAACUCCUUAAUAGCACUCCUUAAUGCAGCAAUAAGAUUAUUUUCAUUGCCCACUACAGAGAUACAGCCAAACCCUACUGGCUGGAGUUCUUGGGCAGAAAAAGGAAUGAAUUUGCUACCAGAUCUGAUCCAGGUGCAUAGAAUUAAUAAAACGGAUAACUGUUUUUAUUCUAAUAUAUUGCAUUUCAAUACAUCAACCAUUUAAUACAUACUCAAGUAUAUUAAAGAUAGACAAAGUCCACAUUUACUUUACAUGCAAAACUAAUGUAGUACUAAUGUAAAGAUACUAGUCUAAAUAAGCAGAGUUAAAGACUUCGUUCUCCGAAAAGUUUGUGGUAGUCUGAAACCGCCCUACUUGACUGAUUGAAGAGCCAAACUUAAGCAUGCCAGAGAUGGGGAAAGUUAGAGAUAACAGUGCUGUGUGCAUUGUACUAAGAAUCUAUUCAGAGAAUCAGAGAAUUGUGGAGUUCGAAAGGACCCUGAGGCUCAUCUAGUCCAACCCCCUGCAAAAUCUCAACUAGAUCAUACAUGACAGAUGGCCAUCCAGCCUCGACUUCCAAACCUCCAAGGAAGGAGAAUCCACCACCUCUUGUGGGAGUCUGUUAAGGUAAAGGUAAAGGUACCCCUGCCCGUACGGGCCAGUCUUGCCAGACUCUAGGGUUGUGCGCUCAUCUCACUCUAUAGGCCGAGAGCCAGCGCUGUCCCUGACACUUCGGUCACGUGCAGCGUGACAAGCAUCUGGCGAGCCAGCACAGCACACGGCGCCUUCCCACGUAAGCGGUCCUAUUAUCUACUUGCACCCGGGUGCUGCUAGGUUGGCAGGCGCUGGGACCGAACGACGGGAGCGCACCCCGCCGCGGGGAUUCGAACCGCCGACCAUGCGAUCGGCAAGUCCUAGGCGCUGAGGUUUAACCCACAGCGCCACCUGCGUCACUUUACCCUAAUUAAUUUACUCCUAUCCAAUCUAGCCAUCUACCUAAUUCUACUAUUUGAACAAUAUAGAAGCAAAAAGCACAUUAGAAACCUACAGCAAUAAAGGCCAUUAACAUGAUCGGAUAUAUUUUCAGAAAUCAAAAAAUUGAUGCCAAUUCUAUUUUUUUCUUUCUACCUUCAUAAAUCAUACACUGAACAAUAUAUCUGUAUUUUUAACCAUGCAGCUUUUUAAAGUUUUGGUCUCCAUUAAACUGUCAUCUUUGUCAGAACUCUAUGAGCAUGUCACAAAUAAUUAAAAGCCUCCUCAAAAGACAAUUUGAGAUUCAUUAUUGUCAGGGGUUCAGGAGCAGAGGCAAGGGCAAGGGAGGAAACAGAGAGCGAGGGGGAGGAGGCAGAAGAAAAGAUGAGUGAUGACGACGACCCGAGAUCUCCGAGUCUUUCCAGUGAAUCAGAAGAUUCACAGAAAGGAGCACCAGUGGCCAGGGCAAGGGGAGCCUAGGGGGCACCCCAGGAAGAUAGAGCCAGAGGGGACUCAGAGGGAGCAGUUGGAAAUCGGGACCAACGUCACCGCCAGAGAGCAGGGAAGAGGAAGGGCGCCAGGGAUCAAGCGCUGGCAACUCACAACAGGGGGGAGGGCACGAGUCAGGAGUGGCCACACCUCCAUCGGGGAGCGAAGAAACGGUCAGACGGAAGGUGGACGGUGGGGCGCGCGCGCCCAGUUCAAAUGCACAGGAAGGUGGCGCAGUAGGCAGCCCGGAAAGGGAGCCAGGUCCUAAAGCCCGCCGAAAGGAGGGAGAAGAGUCAGGGGAGUCAGCGUCAGCGUCAGAGGAAUCCCGGAAGGAAGAGACCCCGGGGGGCAGAGGGACCCAGAGAAGAACAGUCAGGCGGAAAAGGUGGAGCAGGGCUAGGAUAUUAAGUUGGUGUACAAGGGGCGGAGACUCAGACGGAGCUUCGCCGGUCUAAGCAUGAGACGUAGAGUUGCACGCAGCAGCUUGAGAAUGGAAACUGUAACUCAAUAAAGACUUUUGUUUAAUGAUCGCUGGCUAGCGUGAUCCUCUGUGAGCUAGGAUCUGGAAGCAGCUCUGACAAUUAUCGAUCAAGAUUCUGCCUCCUCAAAAGAAGGCUAUCAUUUUCAUGGCAGUCAGAAGACAUGUCCCUUUGAGGAGGACGACACUUGGCCUUACUCCAGCUAUUGAUAUUUCUAAGUGAUUAAAUCUGACCUCAGUGUUGCGUGCCACACCAAGAGCUCCUAUUAUAUGUUCCAUCUUUCGGUAAUGGGCUUUGGCAACUGCCUGUCUUUAAUCCACAUAGCUUCCUGCUUUUGACUGAAAUAAUACACAGUCUAUAAGCAUCCAAUAGUGGGAUCAAUUUGUUAAAUGAAGUUUUUGGAAGUCUCUGACUCCUCUAGAGAACCUGUCACAGGACAAGUCACACACCUUUGCGAUGGACACAGAGCCACUGCAGACGUUCCAGAGAAACCACAAGAAAGCAAGGAUAUGUCGUUUGCACUUAACCCUCCUAGUUUCUUAGUGGGUGGCCACGUCUUACGGUGGGAGGUGCACCUCUACCAAAAUGAAGGAAAAGACUUUGCCUCUUCCAGUUUCACAUAACACCCAAAAUGCAUGAGGAGACAAAGAACAAGCUUGUUUGCCUCAAAUAAAGCAAUAAAGUAAUUAAGAUUUUUUUAAAAAAAAUUCUUUCAUGACAUCAACUAUUUAAAACAUCAAAGCAUGAAUGUGUAGAUUCAGAUCAGAAAAUGAUUAAAGGGAAGGGGCUUAAAAAACCUAAAUCAAAUUUAAACCUAAAACCAUUUCAACAAAACCAAAUAAAUUCAGAUGCAAUUACAGAUAUUCCACUGCCUCCUCUAAUAGCAUUCUCAGCAGUAAUCAGCAUCUGAAAUACCCUCCAAAAUAGAAGUUGGCAAUUUCCCUAAAACUGUGGAAAGAAUAUAUCUAUAAGCUCCCCUGUAAGUAAGCCUCCCUGGACAUGAAAUUUCCAUAACUGGAGCACCACUACUAAGAAGGCUUGAGAUCUUGCCACCUCUUGCUAUGCCUCUGAUGCUUCCUUUCUGCCCACUUAUCUGGAACAUGGAAAGUAAUUAAUUCUCUGAGCAGCGUUCAGUGUGUCCUUACUUAUCCAUAGAGUGGUUAGAAAUCAGUGCUCCAGGGACUAAGUGAGAGAUUUCCUAAUCCAACAUGAAGCCAUUCAUAGCUGUGUUGAAGAUCAAACAACACACCUCAGACACAAAUUCCUUUUCCUCCUAUUGUUGAAUCAUGAGUAUAUUAUAGAGACGCCAUCUUAAUUUCUUUGCUCCUGUAUUUCAGAUAUUACUACUAAGUAAGAUUUGCUUUGAGUAUCCUGAUAUUCUUGCUGCUGAAUGUUCCCCAAUACUGCAUUCUACACUAUUUAUGAAUAUAUAUAUAUAUAUAUAUAUAUAUAUAUAUAUAAUCUGCCUGAUUAUUAAUCUGUUCUUUGUUUCGCUUCCAUGGUUUGGUAACAUGGUUGCCUCUUAUUAGCAUAUGACUUCAGACUCAAAUUCUUCCUCAUCUCCUUAGACCAUGACUUAUCAUACAAUCCCUACCUGUGUGAAUUUCGCAGCUGAAUUCUCAAGUGUUAACUGACUCCUAAACCACCCCUCUUCUUUUUAAAAAAUCCCAUAUAUAAUAAAAAACAGAACUUGGAGAUCAUUAACCAUGGCAUGAACAUAUUGUAGAUCAAAUGUAUACAAGCAGAAUAGGACGGUGUAAUGGAGACUCGCUUAAUUUGCCUAAAUAUCAUUCUUCCCUUUCAAAGAAACAUCAUGCACUGUGGUAGUCAAAGUUCAAGGUAUAAUUUCUCACUUGGCAAUAUACUAUUCUACAAUUUACAAGACUUCCUGAGCAUUUACUUCUACAUCACAACUAGUGUUGUGCUUAAUAUUUCUUCCGCAUUUUUUCAGCCAUGCAAUUUAUGAGAAAACCAACAGCAUUUAAGAAAUACACAAGGGGACAGAAAAUGUCAGAGAAAUUCUUACGGGUAUGCCACAGUAUUUUUAUUGCUCUUGCCUUGCUUUCAAAGUGGCCAAGCGUUGUUUGUGAGUGUCCUACCCAUUCUACAAAUCAGCUCUCUGGCACUUUGCAUCCCCCCAGGUGCUUGUGUUUUCUAAAUACGCCAUGGCAUCCUUAACUGGGAUUUCCUGUAAACACAGGAAGGUGCGGAAGCUGCAUACAGAGUACCUGGCAGCUGUUUUACAAUUGAAUCUUCAUGUUUUGCUUUGAUCUUUCAAGAAGUAAGUGAAGUUUUUCCUUCAAGGUAACUUCCAUUAAAACAAAACAAGUGAUCACACCAAUCUCAAGGAAUUCACUAGCCAGCUUCUCGUGCUUCAAAUGAAACUCUGAAGAAGACACUGGGCAUUUCCAGACUGAAUCCCAACCCUAAAAGAGUGACAAUCACAUACCAACAAAUUCAGGUAGCACAAUUAUAAUUGACUGGGAGGUUUUGCACAACAAACCAGCUUCCUCCAAAGAUUGAACUUUUUGCAAUAAGCAAGGUGAUAGGAAGAUGCCCUGGAAAGUGUGGGAUAACACUUGCUUUGAUGCACCAUUGUGUUACUUUUCCAUAAAUAAGAACACAUACUCAUGAAGUAGCCAUUGCUGUCUAAUUUCCCUGUAAACAAAUCAAGAUGAAUGCUCAAUAAACAGGUCACAUGGAAGCACCAAUUUUGAGGUAGCUAUGGUUUGUUUUGUUUGUUUGUUUGUUUGUUGUAUAUCAGGAAAUGCAAGCAACUAGGGAAGAGGUAGAGUGCUGAAAAAAUGUUUAUUGGAAAGAAGCAUUCGCAUACCAGCCAGGGCCACCUAGCAACAAGAAAGUAAGCUCAACCAAAUGUGCACCAGAAUCCUGAAGGAAUUCAAAAGCUCCUUGAGCAUGAAGGAGCAAAUAAAUAAAUAAAUAAAUAGAGGCCUCUUUCACAGGGGAAGAGAUCUUUUACAAAAUUGAGGAACAGGUUUUGGCACAGCACUAAUAUAAACUAAGGGCAUGUAAAACCCAGAGGCAACCUGAUAAUUAAAUUAAUUGCUCAGUUGUCAUGUAGCCAACACACAAGAUAUUAAAAAGUCGAGUGUCUGAUUCCACUUCAUAUGCACAUGCCCAUACAAUGUAUUGUCUUAAAGUGUGUGCAUCGUUUGGAGCUCUUUAGCCAAGUGUUAUUUUAUAAUGUGGUUAAGGUACUUGCAGGGUUUUUCUCAAAGACUUCUCCAAAUCUUAUCAUUAAGCCACUAUAAAACAUCAAAAAACAAAACAAAAACCUCAAGCUAAAUUACUUUGUAUACAAUGCUUAUUAUGUCUCACUUCAAAGCAGAUCUCACAUGAAGAUCAUAUAUAUCAGAAAAGGAGAGGGCAGAGACAGGGUGGUUUAUACUGAAAGGAGGAAAAGGCAUUUACAGAACAGAACGCAGGUGUUGGGGGGACAGUAAGCUGUUAUAUUCUUGCCUGUUUAACUCUAUAUCUAAAGUUGUCUAAUAUAGAGUAGUCACUUGAAGCUGUAGAGAAUGAAAUCUUGUCCCUUCAGUUUUGCAGUUAAUGCAUCUCCUCCUUUCACCAUUCAUAGGACAGCAUUGCUCAGCCUGGUGUUCUCCAGAUGUUGUGGACCACAACUCCCAUCAGCACCAGCCAGCAUAGGCAGUGGAUAGGAAGGAUGGGAGCUGUAGCCCAAAAUUAGGAGAAGUUGGCGUAUGAGAUCCAUAGUGUACAGCAUCUUAGUGUGAAAUGGGCUGCAGAAUAGUGUGUCUCAGUGAUGAAAUGUUGCCUGCUCUUAGCACAACAAAGGUGACAUUUAAGCAGUGAUUGUCUUAGCCAACAUACAGCUUUAUGGCAACCAUUUUCUAAUCUUAAUUACAGAGUCCCUGAAUGUAGUAUAAUUUGUGCCAAAAACUAGUUCACACAUGUAAUUUGAAAGAAGUCUGGCAUCUUGCUCUCAAACUUACUUUGUGCAGUGAUUAUUUUUUAAAGGCAACCAAUAAGUGACACAUUCCCCCUGUUUUGAAAAACAGAAAUGGACUUUUAAUGCCUAUCUAGCCAGUCAAACUAAUGUGUGUUUUCUGUAUAACAACCAAAUGAGAAUCAUUAUCAGCAAACAUUGUUUGAGGUAAGCUCAAAAACCAAAGCAAUGUGAUAUUUGAGUUAGUUUCGCAUGCAACAAAAAACCCCAGGUUGAGUUCCUGGCAUUUCUCAGUACAGAGAGUUUCUGAAACCCAAGACAAUUACUGCCAGUCAAGGAAGCAGUAAAAUGAGCCAAAUCUGCAAGUAAGUAAGUUGCUAUGGACCUUUGCUUGUGAACAUACUUGUGAAUAGACAUUGCAAAAGAAUCGGCCCAUAAUAAAGGGAAUUGCUAGAUUAAUUCUUUGUAAGUCACCAGAAGGCCACAAGUUUCUUAUCCCUUCUCUACAAUACAAUCAACAUGAAAGAAAGAAAGAAAGAAAGAAAGAAAGAAGCCAACUCAGGACACGUUGUGUUAAGCCAGGACACUCUUAAUGUGCCCUUUUCAUAUCCCCUACAUCUGUGCAUCAUGCCUGGUUAAUCACCAUAUUGUGCUUAUUUCUUAGGCAGUUCUUAUACAUGCGGGCCCUACUGACAUUUUUCAGUUAUUACUAGGAGUUAUUUUGGAGCCUGCUGUGAGCUGUGAUGCAGUGGCUGCUGCUGCUGCUGCUGCUUUGGUGAAGACAUAGUUACGAGGUGGAUUUCAGCCUAAAGGUAUACAUAUGUUCCUGCUGCAAAUAACUGUUUGGGGAAGAGAGUUUUGCUACUGAUACUUAGUCACAUUGCCAUUAGCAAUAACUUUUUGCUGCCUUCCAAAGAGUUUCUGUCACUGCAGGCUGAGAGGAUAAAUGUCCACUCUUCAAGUUUCCGUGUCUAGAGCACAUCACUUGUUGUUGGUCUUUUCAGAUUUCCCUGAUGGGCAGAGGCUGCCUUUUUGGCUUCAGCAGAAAAAUAGGGUCCACAUUUAUUGUUGGACUACAGCUCUACAGUAACCAUCCCUGCCUGCUGGCCACGCAGGCUGGGGCUGAUGGGAGUUGGAGUCCAACAACAUUUGGAAGUCCACACAUCCAAGAUAUAGAGAAAAGAAGCAUAUCAAAGGCAGUUCUCUAAUCAGCUUAACUACAAUACAAUACAAUCGCUAAAAGAAAUAAUUGCAUGAACUCUUCCAGGAUGAAAAUGCUUAGAAAGCUUUAUUUGCACGUGGUCCAAAGUCUUAAUUUGUUUUACCAUUGUGCAAAUAUUCAUGGAAGCAGAAACUCAGUUUCUUGUUUUUAAAAGCCUUCUGCAAAUGACAAUGUGCAGAAAGUUUUAUAGUCUUUAUCUGGUUCAUGCUCACAGGAACCAGGCAAGAUGGAACACAGGAAUCCUAGGCUUAUAAAUGAAAAAAUGGGAAAACAUUCAGUAACUUAGUUAUUAAUACGAUUUUAUGCUGCUUUUCCUCAUGAAAAAGUUCACAAAGUGGUCCUAAAAAUCCAACUGCAACAUUAAGCAGUACAAUACAAUUGAUGAAAUUUAAACAACUGAAACAGAAGCAAUGUGAUAAAGCAUACUAUAAUAUUAAGUCAUCAUAAAACUGACAGAAUCGGACUGAAUUAAAAUGUAAAAAUCUGUAGAUUGGAUCAGCAACUUGUCCAAGGCCAACUCAUCUGGAACCCCUUUCAAAGGCUGUACAAAAAUAGUAAAGUAUUAUGUGUCUUUCAUGUUUUGGGGAUACUAAGAUUCCAAAGCGUAACAAUGGUUGAAAUUACUAUAGUCUCAUCUGACCUUCUCAUUUCGCAGUACAAAAUUCAUUAACAAUAUAUUCCGAGAGGCAGUAGCUCAGGUGGCUUUCAAAUGAGUAAGAGAAAUCCACUUGAUCAUCACGAAAGCUCGACUUCCGGUCGAGCCACGGACCCAUCGCAAGCGGGAUUUUCUCAGUAAGAGAAAGUCCGGGUUCUCAAGGGUAAAAGGGGGUGCUACAGGGCGUGAUAGCCCCCCAAAACCCCUCUGGAGGGAAACCAGAGGGUCAGGAUCCCAGCGGAGCCGUUUGCAGAUCGCCCGGCCACCAGGUAACUCUGUAAUAGGAGCGAAGAGAGCGGCGGGCGGAGAAAGCAGGCACCAGGAAGCCGUUGUCUCACCCUCGAGAACGCAGCCCCAGGCUUGCAGGGUGAGUGACCGAUUCUCAAAAGCAAUCAAUCGGAGCCUAAUUUGGAUUACAAUUGGAAUAUGAAAGAAAGGCUUUGAAAAAAAAAAGGAGAUAAAAAAGAGGUCAGUUUUGACUGCAAUCGGAGAGGAGCGCAAGACUACGAGUGGAGCGUGGAGCGGAGGUUGGUAAAACGGCAAGCGGUUUGAGUUUCUCCCUCUUAGAGAACUUGUUAAAAGUGAGAUAAAUUGUUGCAAAAGUAACAAAAAGUUGCAGAAAAAGAGGGUAACUACUUUGUGACUUUAAAAGGUCUUUGAUACAACGAACGGUCUGAGCGAAGUUAGAAAGAAAGAAAGUUACUUCUUGGUACUUUCGGUUUUGGAAAAAAAACUGCGCAACGAAAUAGAACUUUUGUUUCUCCAUUUUAAGUUGAAGGAAGUCAUCCAGCGACAAAAAAUAUAAUAAAGGGAUGGAAAGACAAUAUUGAACAGUAAUUUUUUUUCUUAUAUGAUUGGAUACCUCUGCAUUUAAUUUAAUUAAAUUUGAACGUUUAAAUAUAAAAGGAAAGAAAAAAGGACUAUGUUGGAAUGAGGCUAUCUACCCAAGUUGUUUUUGCUUUUUUUUUUUUUGCUUUUUUUUGUGAGUCCGCAGAAUGAACUGAGAAAGAACAGCUUAGCUGUCUGUCUUCAGUACUAUAUUUUUAUUUGGAGCUAAGGAAAAUUGGAGCUGAACUAAUCACUCCUCCGUGUUUCAUUUUCAUUUUUAUUUUUCAUUUCCCAUUAUUGGAUUAGUCUGGAAUGUCAAACUAAAGAUCACUCUUCUUUUUCUCUUCUCCCUCUGUUUUUACAUCUGAACUUAAAAUAUUACUGUUUUCACAUUUGAACUCAAAUAUCACUCCAAAAUAAGGAGACUGGCAGCCUUUACAAUUAUUGGUGGUCAGACUCCUUUAGAUACUUCUUCUUUAUUUCCUACUUCUGGAUACACUUGGUGCCCCUUGGACAUUUCUGGAUAUAAUUGGAACACCUAUCAGUAUUUUUAAUAACUUUGGCCACAUAAUUGGAUUAUAAUUUUGGGAAUACAAUAUAUAACCAUUGGAUUACAAAAAUUUAGACAGUACAGCAGCAUUAUUCGGAAGGUAUUUCUUCAAUAAGAAGUCGGUAUGGAUAUAGCCUAAGUGGUGGCAAGAAGAAAGAAGAAAGGAAGUUAAUUUCUUUUUUGCAGUGGGAGAUUGAUCUUUCAAAAGUGUGAAUCUUAAAAAUUUAUUGGUGUUCCCCCCUAUAAGUAUAUAUUUGUGAAAACUAUUUUGGAAAAACUGAUAUACAUAAAUUGAGUAAUAUUUGGGUUUAAGUGCAUGAGAAUUGGGAAGGGUAAAAAUUCUUAUUUUUUUCUUUUGACGCCUUUCUUUGAAAAGAAGUGAUUUUAUGAUUUAUAUUAAGAUUGAAUAUUGAUUGUUAUUGAUCGUAUAUAUAUUGAUUGUCUUUGACUGUAUAUCAUAUCAGGUGUUCGGAAAUUAAUUACAAUGUCUCAUACACAAAAGAAAGGGGGGGGGGACACCGGUAGAGAGGAGAGGAUCAAAACAAGAAGCGGACUUUAAAGGAGAGAUUUUGAAAAUGUUUGCAGAGAUCAAUUCCAAUAUUAAGCAGAGUGAAAAAAAUAUAGAAGCAAAAUUAGAGCAAAUGGACAAGAGAAUGGGCCAAAUGGACAAAAAAAAUUAAUGUUACAGUUAAUGAACUGAAAGGGCAAUUGAAGGAUGUGAGUAAGAGGACACAGAAUUUGGAAGAGGGGUUGAAAAAGACAAGAUUGGAAAUGAGGGAAGUGAAGAAGGAGGAAGAAAAAAUAAGGACGGGAAUGUCGGAAAUUAAUAAAACACAAGAGGAAGUCUGGGAUGCGAUUUCUAUGAAUGAACUCAGGCAGAGAGAAGUGAAUUUAAGAUUGAGGAUGGUUCCAGAGGUGCAAGGAGAAAAUAUUAAAGAGAAGUUAAUAAAAGAGAUUGCACAAUGGAUGGAGAUGAAUGUAGAUGAGGUGGCAAGAUCGGUGCAAAGUGCUUUUCGAAUGAAGAUAAGAUCGGCUAAGGCAAGAAAAUUUCCGGGGGACUGCCUGAUUACCUUUAAGGACAGAGAGAUGAGAAAUUUGAUACUCCAGAAAAAUAGAGAGAACAGGCUGAACAUUGAAGGAAGCUACAUAAAGACAUCCCGAUCAGGCUACUUAAACGGAGAGACCCAUAUAAACCAACAGUUCAGAUUUUAAGGAAGAAUAAUAUAGAAUUCAGAUGGGAAUACCCGGAAGGAAUCUCUUUUAUUUACAAAAGUAAAAGACAUAGACUCACGAGCCCGGAAGAAAUAGGAAAAAUUUUAAGAAAAUAUAAAGAGUUGCGAAGUGAUGAGGAAGAAACAAGAGAAGUGGAACCAGGAAUGGAGGCGGCAGGAGGAGUGGACCCGGAUGAACAAGAGGAAGAAAGAAAGAGGGAAGAAGAAGAGAAAGAAGAAGAAGAAGAAGAAGAAGAAGAAGAAGAAGAAGAAUUAUAAAAUUUGUAAUAAAGAAUUCAAAAUGGCAAAAAUGGAGCUAAAAUUAUGGACUUGGAAUAUUAAUGGGUUAACGAUUAAAAAAACGAAAUAAAGUCGAACAACAUUUAAAAAAGAAAAAUUUGGAUAUCAUUUGUCUACAAGAAACUCACGUGGCAAGAAGACAUAAAAAAAAUUUAAUUAAUAAAAGACUGGGAAAUGAAUUUAUAUCUUCGGAUAGGAGUAAAAAAAGAGGAGUAGUUUUGUACAUCAGAAAAAAAAUUGAAGCUCAACAAAUUUUUUAAGAUGAAGAAGGCAGAGUUAUGGCAGUUCAAAUUAAGUGGCAAGGAGAAAAAAUAAUAAUUGUCGGGAUCUAUGCACCAAAUGGAAACAAGACAGAAUUUUAUAAAAAUUUAGAAGAAAGAUUGUUCGAAUAUAUGGAUCAGAAAAUUAUAAUAAUGGGAGACCUGAAUGGAGUGGUGUCAAUGGAAAUGGACAGACUGAGAACAACAGGGGUGAGCAAAGAUGGGAAAUUUUUCUCAAUGACUAAGAAUUGUAAUUUGAUUGACAUUUGGAGACUUAGACACCCACUGGAGAAACAAUUCACAUUUUAUUCAGAACCAAACCAAUCCAUGUCAAGAAUAGACCAGGUAUGGGUCUCAAAUGAAUUAACUCCAAGAAUCUCGAAAAUUGAAAUUCAACCACGAGUGAUUUCGGACCAUAGUGCAAUAAAAUUUGAACUAAAGGGUUUUGAAGAAAGAACGUUUAGAUGGAGAAUAAACGACUAUCUUCUAGAUGAUCAGAAAGUAGUAGAAAAUGCUCAAAAGAACCUGUCGGAAUAUUUUGUAAAUAACUGUAAUAAGGGAACAAAAAUGAGUACGGUCUGGGACGCCAGCAAAGCUGUGAUGAGGGGCUUUUUCAUUCAACAAAAUGCCCUGAAAAAUAAAAAUAGGGAAAAGAAUAAAAAGGAAUUAUUGAGACAAAUAAUGGAGAAUGAACAAAAAUUGAUAAAAAAAACCAAAUAACGAAAAGAUAAGACAAAACAUAAAGACUUUACAAACACAGUUUGCAAUGAUAAUAAAUAAGGAAGUAGAAGGGAAUAUAAAAAGAAUGAAACAAAGAAAUUUUGAAUUUGCGAAUAAAUCAGGAAAAUGGCUGGCGUGGCAGAUAAAGAAAAGAAAAGAGCAGAAUACAGUAAACAAAAUCAUCAUUGAAGGUACGGAAAUAGAAGACCCAAAAGAAAUUAGAAAAGGAUUCCUGGACUUUUAUAGACAACUGUACAAAAACAAAGAAAAGAAUAAUAUGAGGAAGAUAGAAAGAUUCUUAAAGGAAAAAGAAGUGCAGAAGAUCCCGACGGAGAAAAAAGAUAACUUGAAUGCCCCAACUGAAAUUGAAGAAAUUAAAGAGGCGAUAAGCGAAUUGAGAAAGGGGAAAGCCCCAGGACCAGAUGGAUUCACAGCUAGAUACUAUAAGGAAAUGAGAAGCACCCUACUUGUACCACUGAAAGAAGUUGUAAACAAUAUCUUGAAGAAUAGGGAAAUACCGGAAACUUGGAAAGAAGCCUUUAUUACACUUAUCCCAAAACAAGAAUCGGACUUAACGCAAGUUAAAAAUUAUAGGCCUAUUUCGCUGUUGAACACUGAUUACAAAAUCUUUGCAAGUGUAUUAGCAAAGAGAAUGAAGAAAGUACUGCAAGACCUUAUACAUAAGGAUCAGGCGGGUUUCCUUCCUGGCAGACAGAUGAAAGAUAAUAUAAGAAAUAUAAUAAAUAUAAUAGAAUAUCUGAAUGCCAGGAAUGAGAAACAAGCCAUGUUAAUCUUUGUGGAUGCGGAAAAGGCCUUUGACAAUAUAUCAUGGAACUUUAUGUUAAAAAAUUUGGAACAUAUGGACGUAGGUACGGAUUUUUUAAUGGAAUAAAGGCAAUAUAUACAGAGCAAAAAGCGAAGUUGAUAGUAAACAAUUAUACAACGGAAGACAUUAAAAUAACAAAGGGUACAAGACAAGGAUGCCCAUUAUCACCAUUAUUAUUCAUCUUGGUGCUGGAGGUUCUGCUAAAAUCAAUAAGAAAAAAUGAAGAAAUAAAAGGGGUGUCUGUAGGGAAAAAUGAGUAUAAAGUCAAAGCAUUUGUGGACGAUUUGGUAAUGACGAUAGAAGAGCCAGCAGGAAGUGUUAAAAGAACCCUAGAAGAAAUAGAACAAUUUGGUCAAGUUGCAGGUUUUUAUUUAAACAAGAGAAAGACCAAAAUUAUUGCGAAAAAUAUGGACCAAGAAUUAAUAGAGGAAAUGCAACAAAGUACAGGGCUGGAAGUGGUGAACAAAGUGAAAUAUUUAGGAGUAUGGUUAACCCCCAAGAAUAUUGAUUUGUUUCAAAAUAACUAUGUACCUGUUUGGAAUGGGAUAAAAAGGGAUCUGGAGGUGUGGGGAAGAUUGAAGCUAUCUUUUUGGGGAAGGAUAUCUACGAUAAAGAUGAGUGUGCUGCCAAGGAUGUUAUUUCUAUUCCAAUCACUACCGAUAAUUAAAGGGGCAUCAAUUUUCAAAGAAUGGCAAAAAAAUAGUUUCAAGAUACAUCUGGCAGGGCAAGAAGCCAAGGAUUCAGUUUAAGUUAUUAACAGAUGCGAGAGAAAGAGGUGGCUUCGCCCUGCCAGACUUGAAACUAUAUUAUGAAGCAUCAUGCCUCUGUUGGUUAAAGGAAUGGAUUAAAUUAGUGAAUGGAGAGUUGUUAGAUUUAGAAGGAUUUGAUAAUAGAUUCGGGUGGCAUGCAUAUCUGUGGUAUGAAAAGAAAAAAUUCAUAAAGGAUUUGAAAACCACAUCUUCUGAAGAUCAUUGAUAGAGGUGUGGGAGAGGUAUAAAAAUUUGUUGGAACCAAGACUCCCCCAUUGGCUUUCACCAUUGGAAGUGAUGAGUGUGAAAAAGAUAAACAUGAGGGGGAGGUGGAUAACUUAUGGAGAAUUGAUAGUAAGAGAGGGGGGGGAAAUGGAAAAUGAAGACUUAUGAAGAGGUGAAAGAAUUUGUUUAUGAUUGGUUGCACUACUACCAGAUUAGUGAAAUGUUUAAAAAAGACUGUAAAAUGUGUGGAUAUGAAGGAAAAGAAUCAAAAUUUCAAAUAGAGGUAUUGAAUAAUGAGUAUAAAAAUUUGUCUAAAAUGUAUAGAAUGUUGUUGGAAUGGCAUACAAAAGAUGAAGAGGUGAAAUCAGUAAUGAUACAUUGGGCCAGAGACUUUGGUUAUAAUAUACAAUAUGAUGAUUGGACGAAAUUAUGGAAUGAAAGGUUAAAAUUUACGGCGUGUACCGCGUUGAAGGAAAAUGUAAUGAAAAUGGUAUAUAGAUGGUACAUAACGCCAGUUAAAUUAGGUAAAAUGUAUAAAACAUGUAACAAGUGUUGGAAAUCUAAAGAAAAGAAGGAACUUUCUAUCAUAUGUGGUGGGAAUGCAAAAAGGUGAAAGGCUUCUGGGAAAUGAUAUAUAAGGAAUUGAAAAAGAUGUUGAGAUAUACAUUUGUUAGAAAACCAGAAGCCUUCCUACUAGGAUUGGUAGGUUAUGAAAUUAAUAGAAAAGAUUGUAAACUUUUCCAAUACGCUGUAACAGCUGCAAGAAUACUUCUGGCGCAAAGAUGGAAGCAGGAAGAAAUUCCAACUGUGGAAGAAUGGAGAAUGAAACUGACUGAAUAUGCGGAAUUGGAUAAACUGACUGGGAAGAUUCGAUAUCAGAAAGACCAAAAGUUUAUCGAGGACUGGGGGAAAUUUACAGAUUAUCUGAAAAGCAUAUGUGAUGCACAGACAACGCUUGUUGGUUUUGAAGAGUCUCUGUGAAAAAUUAAGAAAUAUUGUAAAAAAGAAAGUAGGAGAAAGGAAGAGGAAUGGUUAAAGGCAAUAAUAAGUUCAGAAAUGCGUUAACAAUAGAAAUUUUAACAAAAGAUUGGCAGAGAAACUGAG